ensembl:lncRNA
GUGCUCCUUGACCUCCAUGACAGUAGUUGUAACAUGGGACUUAGAGGUGGUCUGGUAUAAAUCAAGAGGAAGAAAAGAACUGAUAAGGAUUGGAAGGCUUAUUUUGCUUUCUUCCUGGAAAAAAAGGACAAGGCAAUAUGGAAAGAUGGUGACAUGGAAGGAAUCAGUGAGAACAACCAGAAUACAGAGACAACAUACAAAAUAAAUCCUACAGAAACUGGGAGAUCUAGAACAGAACCCUUUUUCUGAAUGUUUUGGAAUUUUGCACUGUUCAAUUUGCAGUGUGCAGGUUUUUAAUGGAGAUUAUAACCCAAUAAUGGAUUAACAUAUUGAUCCUUCACAAGCUUCAAGCAUUACUUAAAUAUGGAUUUCUGUUAUAUAACUUUGGCCUCUACAACAUUUGAGAUGCAUCCAACUUCAGUGUAGACAAAUACCAAUCAUAAGGAUUUUAUUUUUCUGAUCAAUUUUAUAGAGCAUUUAAUUUGGUAUAUUUGCUUGGAAUAACAUUGCAUGGUUAAACUUCUUCCAUGCUACUCCUGAACUACUGCAUAUUCAUUUGAAUCAAAGAUUACUUCUAGAGGAAACUAAAAAUCUGCUCCAAAUCUCCUUCACAGAAUAGAACACCUUCAAAUAGGCUUCACCCCCACAAAGUUUGAAAGCAAGUAGUAAUUACUUCAGGUGCUAAUAUUGAGACUAGUACUGUUUUAUCUCUUUGUUAUUUACCUGGAUGAUGGUACAGAAUGCACCAUCUGCAAAUUUACAGAUGAUUAAAAAAAAAAAAAAAAAAAAACAAAACAGAGCUGAGUGGCUGAUACACCAUAACUUUGUUCUACCAUUC